GACGAACCGUGCAAACGUUAUUCGGAAUCACUGGGCUUAAAGGGCGCGUAGGCGGAUUAGCAAGUCAGGGGUGAAAGCCCACGGCUCAACCGUGGAAGUGCCUUUGAUACUGCUGAUCUCGAGGGAGGUAGGGGCGUGCGGAACUUCCGGUGGAGCGGUGAAAUGCGUAGAUAUCGGAAGGAACACCGGUGGCGAAAGCGGCGCGCUGGACCUCUUCUGACGCUGAGGCGCGAAAGCCAGGGGAGCAAACGGG
rnacentral:rRNA from 1 species